AGGGUCUAUCGCUGUCACAUGAUUGUAGUCAGCUGUUUGCUCUGACCAAAUUCCUCUAUAGCGGGUGCCACACCAGCUGAUGUAGAACAGUUCCUGAUUCUGGACAGAUGUAUCAGUUCAAAGACUGUUAUCAGAAGUAUGAUGGGAUCCUUAAAGACUCUUGAGGAGGUUAAUAUGCAGUUUGUCACCUGGAAUUGUAAAGGCCUGAACGGUGCUGUGAAAAGAGGUAAUAUAUAUUGACUCAUCUUAGGAAGCUGGGAGAUGUUGCCUUUCUACAAGAGAUGCAUCUUAAAAAUCCAGCACACAAACAACUAUUUAAAAAUUGCAAAAAUGAUCCAGAACUUUUUAAAAUCAGCAAAUAUAAUAGAUAUUUGGAGAUAUUUAAACCCAGCUCAGAAAAAAAUAAAUAUUUCUUUUCGCAGCCAUAUAAUUCAUAUUCUAGGAUUGAUAAUUUUUUCUUGGUGUUAUGUUCCCAAACCAAGUCUAGGGAUGGAGGGAUGUGUAACAAAAUAAAAAGUGGAGAUGUGUGUGUGUGUGCGUGUCAGCUAAGAGGAUCCACUCAACCCCAAUGUGGUUACAAAAAGCCACUAUACAACUUAGUCCAAGGGUAACAAAUAAUUGAUUUACAAAGCUGUAGGAGGGUUCAAAGACUUUGAGAGGGGGCUCAGGCCAAUACAAUAAACAUAACCCAUUUAACUAGUUAAGGGAGAAACUAACUAAACUACAAAUGAAAAAAAAUAAAUAAAUACAGCAAAUAAAUACCCCCCCCCCAUCUUCCAUCUUUUUGUGCCAAAGCAUUGUUAAAGGAUCAGCUUGUUGUGUAAUAUUCCUAACAGACUCUAACAGCCAAUUAAAAAAUAUUGGUGUAGGAAAAUUUGCUAAUUCACAAGAUCAAAUACAUACUUUAUUAAACUGCUUUGUCGAAUUUUACGCAUCCUUACGGAAGUGUUGAAA